UUCCCGGGCCUUGUACACACCGCCCGUCACACCACGAAAGUUGGCAAUACCCGAAGCCGGUGGCCUAACCCGCAAGGGAGGAGCCGUCUAAGGUAGGGUCGAUGAUUGGGGUG
rnacentral:rRNA from 1 species